GAUGGACGCUGGCGGCGUGCUUAACACAUGCAAGUCGAACGAAGCACUUUAUUUGAUUUCCUUCGGGACUGAUUAUUUUGUGACUGAGUGGCGGACGGGUGGGUAACGCGUGGGUAACCUGCCUUGUACAGGGGGAUAACAGUUGGAAACGGCUGCUAAUACCGCAUAAGCGCACGGCAUCGCAUGAUGCAGUGUGAAAAACUCCGGUGGUAUAAGAUGGACCCGCGUUGGAUUAGCUAGUUGGUGAGGUAACGGCCCACCAAGGCGACGAUCCAUAGCCGACCUGAGAGGGUGACCGGCCACAUUGGGACUGAGACACGGCCCAAACUCCUACGGGAGGCAGCAGUGGGGAAUAUUGCACAAUGGGCGAAAGCCUGAUGCAGCGACGCCGCGUGAGCGAAGAAGUAUUUCGGUAUGUAAAGCUCUAUCAGCAGGGAAGAUAAUGACGGUACCUGACUAAGAAGCACCGGCUAAAUACGUG
rnacentral:rRNA from 1 species